rnacentral:lncRNA from 1 species
CGGAAGCCAUUUCAAGCCCACACCCGCGCGCUUGAAGUCAAGCUCUCCCUAAUAACAAAGCACGACCAAGAAGGACUCGCCAAAGAUGGCCAACCUCGCCGUCCUCGUGACCGUCUUCCUCGUGGCCGAGGCGAUCAUGUUGCCUGCGGUGCACGGCGCCCGCCCUUUGGAGAGCGUGGAGCUCGUGGCCUCGUCGGUGGCAAAGCCCCCCUCGUCGACAUCGUUGCAAGUCCCGGCGCUCGUCCCUCUUGACGGCCACUUCGAAGAAGAGGCAGACGGUCCUGCCGCGGCGGGGUACCUCGUGACGGACUGCACCCAUAAAACGCCGGUGAAUGGGCCCUAAUUAAGCCACGCAUUGUCCUAAUUCGGGUGUCACCUCAAGUGAUGAGCAUGCACUCGAUCAC